rnacentral:rRNA from 1 species
UACGUAGGGUGCAAGCGUUAAUCGGAAUUACUGGGCGUAAAGCGUGCGCAGGCGGUUUUGUAAGCCAGAUGUGAAAUCCCCGGGCUUAACCUGGGAAUGGCAUUUGGGACUGCAAGGCUGGAGUACGGCAGAGGAGACUGGAAUUCCUGGUGUAGCAGUGAAAUGCGUAGAGAUCAGGAGGAAUACCGAUGGCGAAGGCAGGUCUCUGGGCUGAUAC